AACUGCAUCAACAUCUUUUGACCUUGUCCUUUCCUUUGACCUUGACCUCACUAGUCUUUUCUUAAAUCAGUGUCAAACUUCAUAUGCUGAUACACACUGAUGUAAGCAAAUCACCUGUAUUAACAUUUUUGACGUUGACCUUUCAUUUAACCUUGACCUCAUUUUUAUGGAAAUUGUUUUUAAGUUAGUUUUAAAGAAACCAUUUAUAAUUUUUUUUAAAUUUCAUAUGCUGAAACAUACUGAUGGGAGCUUUUCAACUGCAUCAACAGUUUUGACUUUGGCAUUUCCUUUGACCUUGACCUCCCUUUAAUGAAAUUAGUGUUAAACAUAAUAUGCUGAUACAUACUGAUCUUGGACAGAAAAGAGAUAUAAAAGGACUUCAUGGAAUUCACCAACAUCGAGACAUUGAAGAUCCUGAAGCAUUCAAGUACAAGAUGACAAAGCUUAGAAAAUUGAGUUGUCUUUUUCACCAUUGGCCUGCCUUGCAGAGUUACUUCAGUUCCCAUGACGAUGUUGAGAAACCAGACAGAUGAAGUGAUGUACAUCAUAUACAUGUAUUAAAGACAACAACCAUGAACAUGUAUAUGUGAAUCAGCUUCCCAAGUUUCAUUAUUCAUCCACUUAAUGAUUUUUGAAGGCUGAUGAAGUUAAGAUUGGGUACUUGAGGGACAUCAAAGAUGCUGGCCAAAUUUCUUUUCAAGGAUAUGGUGAUAUCCAACCUUGGCUUUCUAAAUCCAGCAAAUGGAGGAGAUCU